rnacentral:lncRNA from 1 species
UGGCAAUGUGAGUUGGUUGGGUUUUGAGAGCUUGAUUUUGAUAGAAGCAUGAUAUUUUGUAGGGUUGGAGAUUUUUAAUGGAAAAGAUUCUUCUUUGGCUACAAAAUUUUUAAUUUAUAGGGCUCCAUUCCACUGCAUAAUUUUUUUUUAACUAUAUAGGGAUUUUAGGUAUACCUGACCCGACUCGACCUAUUCUUAGAGCUCGACCCGACCCAAUCCGGGAUGGAUACGGUGGAAGGGGUAUGAGUAUAAAUUUUUUAUUGAUAAGAUGGGUGUGUAUAUCAACAACCCAACCCAUAUCUGACUUGUUGCCAUCCCGAGUAAGAACCAAGUAGGGCCUAGAUAAUAUAGACUUUAGUCGGCUUGGUGCAAUUAUAACAAUAGUUAAAGCAAUAGUUACAAUAAUAAUGGCAAGUGCAACAAUAAAUACCACCACCAC